CUUCACCGAGCCGAGCCACAACGGCUGUUCGUCCGAACGGUUCUGCCCGUACGUGGCGAGGAGGGCCUGGGCCUC
rnacentral:antisense_RNA from 1 species